rnacentral:rRNA from 1 species
GCGCAAGCGUUGUCCGGCAUUAUUGGGCGUACAGAGCUCGUCGGCGGUUUGUCACGUCGGCUGUGAAAGCCCGGGGCUUAACCCCGGGUCUGCAUUCGAUACGGGCAGACUAGAGUGUGGUAGGGGAGAUCGGAAUUCCUGGUGUAGCGGUGAAAUGCGCAGAUAUCAGGAGGAACACCGGUGGCGAAGGCGGAUCUCUGGGCCAUUACUGACGCUGAGGAGCGAAAGCGUGGGGAGCGAACAGG